rnacentral:rRNA from 1 species
UACAGAGGGUGCAAGCGUUGUUCGGAAUUAUUGGGCGUAAAGGGCGCGUAGGCGGUGCGGUAAGUCUGUAGUGAAAUCUCUGGGCUCAACUCAGAGUCUGCUAUAGAAACUGCCGUGCUUGAGUGUGGGAGAGGUGAGUGGAAUUCCCGGUGUAGCGGUGAAAUGCGCAGAUAUCGGGAAGAACACCCGUGGCGAAGGCGGCCCGCUGGGCAGUGGCUGACGCUGAGGCGCGACAGCGUGGGGAGCAAACAGG